rnacentral:tRNA from 1 species
GCGGGAAUAGCUCAGUUGGUAGAGCGCAACCUUGCCAAGGUUGAGGUCGCGAGCUCGAGCCUCGUUUCCCGCUCCA